ACUCCUAGGGAGGCAGCAGUGGGGAAUAUUGCACAAUGGGGGAAACCCUGAUGCAGCCAUGCCGCGUGUGUGAAGAAGGCCUUCGGUUGUAAAGCACUUUCUAGUAGGGAGGAAGGUAGUGUAGUUAACACCUGCAUUAUUUGUACGUUACCUACAGAAGAAGCACCGGCUAACUCCGUGCCAGCAGCCGCGGUAAGUACGGAGGGUGCGAGCGUUAAUCGGAAUUACGUGGGCGUAAAGCGCAUGCAGGCGGCCUGUUAAGUCAGAUGUGAAAGCCCGGGGCUUAACCUCGGAAUUGCAUUUGAAACUGGCAGGCUAGAGUCUGUAGAGGGGUUAGGAAUUUCAGGUGUAGCGGUGAAAUGCGUAGAGAUCUGAAGGAAUACCAGUGGCGAA
rnacentral:rRNA from 1 species